GCGGCAGCCGGGUCCCGCGGAACUAGAGCGCGCGGCCACCUCCCCGCCUACGCCACGCCACGCGGGACCACUCGGCUUCCUUUCGCUUUUGCUUGGGACGGCGACUGGUGGGUGCGGCGGGAGACGCGGGACCCCGCGGGGGUGGCCGGCUCUUGGGCAAGUCCCGCCAAGUUGGCUGAAUUCCCAGCUCCUCCUUCCCCUGGGGGUUUUCCCUCCGAGCCCUCCCUCCCUCUCUCCCUCUCUCUCUCUCUCCUGUGCUCACUGAGCUUCCUUCCAGCGUCUAGCCACCGGUGAUGCGCACCCCAUCAGGUCGUGCUGUGGAUGCAAGGGUUCAGGCAGAGGGGCUCAAGUGAUGUUUGGGCCACCGGGCAUAGACGUCACACGCACCUGUGCGAUAAGCACAGGGAAAGACAAAUCGCAUAGUAGCCUGAUAGCACAGUGACUGGGGCAAGAAAAAGGCGAGAGAGCGAGUAGAAAGAGUGAGGUACACAUGAGAUAUCCCUGCUUCCAGCUGAGAACUCCAAUCUUGCCCAGGCUGGCCCCCGACAGUGGUGCUUCAUACAAAGACAACCUUUACACAGUGCACAAGAGAUGCUCCCAACACUGGGCCUUUGAGCCUAUGAUUUCACAGCUCAUGCAGUUUCCUGGUUGGCUACUGGAUCAAUGUCAGCUCACCUUCCGACAAGUACUGACUAAGCCACCCCACCCUGCCUUCCUUGCCAUGAUGCCUUUCCCUGGAACCAUGAGCCUAAAAAAAUCUUUCCUCACUCAGGCA